rnacentral:lncRNA from 1 species
CUUCAAGGCACCAAGAGCCCUUCAAAACACAUGACCUUCCUGCUCACAACAUAAAGACCAGUUCCCUCUGGCCUCUACAGUUUGGCUCAGCACCAGGGAACCUGUGUCCUCUCUGAGACCAAGGCACCACUCCAGUGACAGGUUUCCUGAGGUGAAUGAAGUCAGAAGUGGCAUUCAGGAAGCUGUGAAUAUCUCCAGAUUAUCCAGGUGUUCUCACUGCAGCUGGAACAGAAUGGAAGUGAUGACAGAAGAAAGAUACCAGUCCAUUUCUCUCCCCCUGCCACCCCAACUCAAAUUCUGGGCCACAUCCUCCAGGAAGAUCUCUGUCCCGUGGAAGCCCCUGGCCUGGCCUCCGGCAGUGCCACGCUCCGUGUAUUUGACAAGCUGAGUUGGACACUCCGUGUGGUAGAGUGUCAGUUUGUCAAAUACCCCAAGUGCGGCACAUGCUUAGCAGCUCCACACCAGGGCAGAUGGGAUACAACAUAUUUGCUGCCAAGUGGAUGUAAGAAUGCUCAUUAAACAACAAGGUCUCCUAAUUUUUUUUUUUUUUGUAACUUUGAGGGAACCCAAGCAAUGCAUCUGAGGGUUUCAGGGGGAAAGUGCAGCAUCUCUGAUAAUUAUAGCCCUGGUCUUUGUCUACACACAUCAUGAGAAUGCCUAAGUCUUGAAAAGACAUAAGGGAUACAGGGAUAGAAGUACUCUUUGAUUUGUUAUUCUCUUCUUCCUUCACAUUCCCCUUCCAGAGUGUCACAGUCAAGACACCAG